AUUCCGGGGUAAGCUGGUGUUUAUAAACUAAUACAAACACCAGCUUACCCCGGAGUUU
rnacentral:miRNA from 1 species